rnacentral:rRNA from 1 species
AUACGUAGGGUGCGAGCGUUAAUCGGAAUUACUGGGCGUAAAGCGUGCGCAGGCGGCUAUGCAAGACAGAUGUGAAAUCCCCGGGCUCAACCUGGGAACUGCAUUUGUGACUGCAUGGCUAGAGUGCGUCAGAGGGAGGUGGAAUUCCGCGUGUAGCAGUGAAAUGCGUAGAGAUGCGGAGGAACACCGAUGGCGAAGGCAGCCUCCUGGGAUGACACUGACGCUCAUGCACGAAAGCGUGGGGAGCAAACAGGAUUAGAUACCCUGGUAGUCCACGCCCUAAACGAUGUCAACUAGUUGUCGGGGAUUCAUUUCCUUGGUAACGCAGCUAACGCGUGAAGUUGACCGCCUGGGGAGUACGGCCGCAAGGUUAAA